UAACACGUGAGCAACCUGCCCUAGGCUUUGGGAUAACCCCGGGAAACCGGGGCUAAUACCGAAUAGGACCUCUGACCGCAUGGUUGGUGGUGGAAAGUUUUUCGGCCUGGGAUGGGCUCGCGGCCUAUCAGCUUGUUGGUGGGGUGAUGGCCUACCAAGGCGACGACGGGUAGCCGGCCUGAGAGGGCGACCGGCCACACUGGGACUGAGACACGGCCCAGACUCCUACGGGAGGCAGCAGUGGGGAAUAUUGCACAAUGGGCGGAAGCCUGAUGCAGCGACGCCGCGUGAGGGAUGACGGCCUUCGGGUUGUAAACCUCUUUCAGCAGGGACGAAGCGUAAGUGACGGUACCUGCAGAAGAAGCACCGGCCAACUACGUGCCAGCAGCCGCGGUAAGACGUAGGGUGCGAGCGUUGUCCGGAUUUAUUGGGCGUAAAGAGCUCGUAGGCGGCUUGUCGCGUCGACUGUGAAAACCCGCAGCUCAACUGCGGGCCUGCAGUCGAUACGGGCAGGCUAGAGUUCGGUAGGGGAGACUGGAAUUCCUGGUGUAGCGGUGAAAUGCGCAGAUAUCA
rnacentral:rRNA from 1 species